rnacentral:rRNA from 1 species
GACACGGCCCAGACUCUACGGGAGGCAGCAGUGGGGAAUAUGGACAAUGGCGCAAGCUGAUCCAGCCAUACCGCGUGUGUGAAGAAGGCUUCGGGUUGUAAAGCACUUUAAGCAGGGAGAAAAAGUUAUAAGUUAAUACCUUAUAACCCUGAUGUUACUGCAGAAUAAGCACCGGCUAAUUCCGUGCCAGCAGCCGCGGUAAUACGGAAGGUGCAAGCGUUAAUCGGAAUUACUGGGCGUAAAGCGCGCGUAGGUGGUUUGUUAAGUUGGAUGUGAAAGCCCUGGGCUCAACCUAGGAACUGCAUCCAAAACUAACUCACUAGAGUACGAUAGAGGGAGGUAGAAUUCAUAGUGUAGCGGUGGAAUGCGUAGAUAUUAUGAAGAAUACCAGUGGCGAAGGCGGCCUCCUGGAUCUGUACUGACACUGAGGUGCGAAAGCGUGGGUAGCGAACAGGAUUAGAUACCCUGGUAGUCCACGCCGUAAACGAUGACAACUAGCUGUUGGGAGACUAUGUCUUUCAGUGGCGCAGCUAACGCUUUAAGUUGUCCGCCUGGGGAGUACGGCCGCAAGGCUAAAACUCAAAUGAAUUGACGGGGACCCGCACAAGCGGUGGAGCAUGUGGUUUAAUUCGAUGCAACGCGAAAAACCUUACCUACUCUUGACAUACUUGGGAGCUCUUGUAAUGAGAGUGUGCCUUAUGGAACCAAGAUACAGGUGCUGCAUGGCUGUCGUCAGCUCGUGUCGUGAGAUGUUCCGUUAAGUCGGAUAACGAGCGCAACCCUUACCCUUAUUUGCCAGCGAUUCGGUCGGGAACUAUAAGGGGACUGCCGGUGAUAAACCGGAGGAAGGUGAGGACGACGUCAAGUCAUCAUGGCCCUUACGAGUAGGGCUACACACGUGCUACAAUGGGGAAUACAGACGGACGCUAAGCCGCGAGGUGGUGCUAAUCCUAGAAAGUUUCUCGUAGUCCGGAUUGGAGUCUGCAACUCGA